UGGAGUUCAGACGUGUGCUCUUCCGAUCUCUCCACCCAGACUCAUCCAUCAUCAUAACCAUAGAGAGUUUCUGUUGGUGCUGGAAUUGCCCAGGUCUACCAGGCGUUGGUUGUCCUGGUGAAAGGAGGUAGGCGGUGAUCUUAGGCAAAUCCGGGAUCACUUACGCCGAGCACCGAGACGAGUCCUAUGAGGACGAAGUGACUGACACCACGCUUCCAGGAAAAGCCACUAAGCUUCAGCUUAAGAAAAACCGUACCGCAAACCGACACAGGUAGGCAGGGUGAGAAUCCCAAGGCGCUUGAGAGAACUCGGGUGAAGGAACUAGGCAAAAUGGCACCGUAACUUCGGGAGAAGGUGCGCCCUUUGGUGUGGUCACGUGCGUGACUGAGCAUCGAAGGGUCGCAGUAACCUGGCCGCUGCGACUGUUUAUCAAAAACACAGCACUCUGCAAACACGAAAGUGGACGUAUAGGGUGUGACGCCUGCCCGGUGCUGGAAGGUUAAUUGAUGGGGUCAGCCGCAAGGCGAAGCUCUUGAUCGAAGCCCCAGUAAACGGCGGCCGUAACGAUAACGGUCCUAAGGUAGCGAAAUUCCUUGUCGGGUAAGUUCCGACCUGCACGAAUGGCGUAACGACAGCGGCGCUGUCUCCACCCGAGACUCAGUGAAAUUGAAAUCGCUGUGAAGAUGCAGCGUUCCCGCGGCAAGACGGAAAGACCCCGUGAACCUUUACUAUAGCUUUACACUGAACGUUGAGUUCUUCUGUGUAGGAUAGGUGGGAGGCUAUGAAACCAGGACGCUAGUUCUGGUGGAGCCAUCCUUGAAAUACCACCCUGAAGUGCUUGACGUUCUAACCUAGGCCCGUAAUCCGGGUCAGGGACCGUGUAUGGUGGGUAGUUUGACUGGGGCGGUCUCCUCCCAAAGAGUAACGGAGGAGCACGAAGGUACGCUCAGCGCGGUCGGACAUCGCGCACUGUGUGCAAAGGCAUAAGCGUGCUUGACUGCGAGAUCGACGGAUCAAGCAGGUACGAAAGUAGGUCUUAGUGAUCCGGUGGUUCUGUAUGGAAGGGCCAUCGCUCAACGGAUAAAAGGUACUCCGGGGAUAACAGGCUGAUACCGCCCAAGAGUUCAUAUCGACGGCGGUGUUUGGCACCUCGAUGUCGGCUCAUCACAUCCUCGGGCUGUAGCCGGUCCCAAGGGUAUGGCUGUUCGCCAUUUAAAGUGGUACGCGAGCUGGGUUCAGAACGUCGUGAGACAGUUCGGUCCCUAUCUGUCGUGGGCGUUGGAGAUUUGAGGGGGGCUGCUCCUAGUACGAGAGGACCGGAGUGGACGUUCCGCUGGUGUUCGGGUUGUCAUGCCCAUGGCAUUGCCCGGUAGCUACGAACGGAAGUGAUAACCGCUGAAAGCAUCUAAGCGGGAAGCACGCCCCAAGAUGAGAUCUCCCGAGAGCUUGACUCUCCUAAAGGCACCAUCAAGACUAGGUGGUUGAUAGGUCAGGUGUGGAAGCGCAGCAAUGCGUUGAGCUAACUGAUACUAAUGAGCCGUGAGGCUUGACCAG
rnacentral:rRNA from 1 species